rnacentral:rRNA from 1 species
GAUGAACGCUGGCGGCGUGCCUAAUACAUGCCAGUCGAGCGAACAGACGAGGAGCUUGCUCCUCUGACGUUAGCGGCGGACGGGUGAGUAACACGUGGAUAACCUACCUAUAAGACUGGGAUAACUUCGGGAAACCGGAGCUAAUACCGGAUAAUAUAUUGAACCGCAUGGUUCAAUAGUGAAAGACGGUUUUGCUGUCACUUAUAGAUGGAUCCGCGCCGCAUUAGCUAGUUGGUAAGGUAACGGCAUACCAAGGCAACGAUGCGUAGCCGACCUGAGAGGGUGAUCGGCCACACUGGAACUGAGCCACGGUCCAGACUCCUACGGGAGGCAGCAGUAGGGAAUCUUCCGCAAUGGGCGAAAGCCUGACGGAGCAACGCCGCGUGAGUGAUGAAGGUCUUCGGAUCGUAAAACUCUGUUAUUAGGGAAGAACAAAUGUGUAAGUAACUAUGCACGUCUUGACGGUACCUAAUCAGAAAGCCACGGCUAACUACGUG